rnacentral:rRNA from 1 species
AUUGUAAUCUAUAGAGGCGUUUUCUGUGCUGGACCGUGUCCAAGUCCCUUGGAACAGGGUAUCAAAGAGGGUGACAAUCCCGUACUUGACACGACAACCAGUGCUCUGUGAUACGUCUUCUACGAGUCGAGUUGUUUGGGAAUGCAGCUCAAAAUGGGUGGUGAAUUCCAUCUAAAGCUAAAUAUUGGCGAGAGACCGAUAGCGAACAAGUACCGUGAGGGAAAGAUGAAAAGCACUUUGGAAAGAGAGUUAAACAGUAUGUGAAAUUGUUGAAAGGGAAACGAUGGAGGUCAGUCGUGUCUGUGGGAUUCAGCCGUCUCUGGCGGUGUACUUCCCACAGACGGGUCAACAUCAGUUUUGGUCGGCGGAUAAAGGCAGGAGGAAGGUGGCACCCCCGGGUGUGUUAUAGCCUCUUGUUGCAUACGCUGGCCGAGACUGAGGAAUGCAGCUCGCCUUUAUGGCCGGGGUCGCCC